rnacentral:rRNA from 1 species
AGAGUUUGAUCAUGGCUCAGGACGAACGCUGGCGGCGUGCCUAACACAUGCAAGUCGAGCGAGAAAGUCUCCUUCGGGAGGCGAGUAAAGCGGCGAACGGGUGAGUAACACGUGAGCGAUCUACCCGGCGGCGGGGGAUAACUCAGGGAGACCUGAGCUAAUACCGCAUACAGCACCGGCUUGGAAGCCGGAUGUGAAAGCUGGCCUCUCGAAGAAGCUGGCACCGUCGGAUGAGCUCGCGGCCUAUCAGCUAGUUGGUGGGGUAACGGCCUACCAAGGCGAUGACGGGUAGCUGGCGUGAGAGCGUGGCCAGCCACACUGGGACUGAGACACGGCCCAGACUCCUAUGGGAGGCAGCAGUGGGGAAUAUUGCGCAAUGGGCGAAAGCCUGACGCAGCGACGCCGCGUGGGGGGGAGGAAGGCCUCAGGGUCGUAAACCCCUGUCAGGUGGGACGAACCACGGAUCGGUCAAUACCCGGUCCGCCUGACGGUACCACCAGAGGAAGCUCCGGCUAACUCCGUGCCAGCAGCCGCGGUAAUACGGAGGGAGCGAGCGUUGUUCGGAAUCACUGGGCGUAAAGGGCGCGUAGGCGGUCGGGUAAGUCGGGUGUGAAAUUCCGGGGCUCAACCCCGCGAACUGCAUCCGAUACUGCUCGACUAGAGAGAGGUAGGGGCGAGUAGAAUUCCCGGUGUAGCGGUGGAAUGCGUAGAUAUCGGGAAGAACACCGGUGGCGAAGGCGGCUCGCUGGGCCUUAUCUGACGCUGAAGCGCGAAAGCGUGGGGAGCAAACAGGAUUAGAUACCCUGGUAGUCCACGCCGUAAACGAUGGGUACUAGGUGUUGGGAGGAUUGACCCUCUCAGUGCCGACGCUAACGCAUUAAGUACCCCGCCUGGGGAGUACGGCCGCAAGGCUGAAACUCAAAGGAAUUGACGGGGGCCCGCACAAGC